rnacentral:ncRNA from 1 species
UGUCCGCUAUCGGUCASCASKRAAUAUCCUGGUGACCGAUAGCGGACAAGUACCGUGAGGGAAAGGUGAAAAGUACCCCGGGAGGGGAGUGAAAUAGAUCCUGAAACCGUGCGCUUACAAUCCGUCGGAGCCUCCUUGUGGGGUGACGGCGUGCCUUUUGAAGAAUGAGCCUGCGAGUUAGUGCUCAGUGGCAAGGUUAACCCGUGUGGGGAAGCCGUAGCGAAAGCGAGUCCGAAUAGGGCGUUUGAGUCGCUGGGUCUAGACCCGAAGCGGAGUGAUCUACCCAUGGCCAGGUUGAAGCGACGGUAAGACGUCGUGGAGGACCGAACCCACUUAGGUUGAAAACUGAGGGGAUGAGCUGUGGGUAGGGGUGAAAGGCCAAUCAAACUCCGUGAUAGCUGGUUCUCCCCGAAAUGCAUUUAGGUGCAGCGUCACGUGUUUCUUACCGGAGGUAGAGCUACUGGAUAGCCGAUGGGCCUCACCAGGUUACUGACGUUAGCCAAACUCCGAAUGCCGGUAAGUGAGAGCGUGGCAGUGAGACUGCGGGGGAUAAGCUCCGUAGUCGAGAGGGAAACAGCCCAGAUCACCAGCUAAGGUCCCUAAGCGUGUGCUAAGUGGAAAAGGAUGUGGAGUUGCCGUGACAACCAGGAGGUUGGCUUAGAAGCAGCCACCCUUUAAAGAGUGCGUAAUAGCUCACUGGUCAAGUGAUUCCGCGCCGACAAUGUAGCGGGGCUCAAGCACACCACCGAAGCUGUG